CAGAGCCACGGGAAUACGUAGGUGGCAAGCGUUAUCCGGAAUUAUUGGGCGUAAAGCGCGCGUAGGCGGUUUUUUAAGUCUGAUGUGAAAGCCCACGGCUCAACCGUGGAGGGUCAUUGGAAACUGGAAAACUUGAGUGCAGAAGAGGAAAGUGGAAUUCCAUGUGUAGCGGUGAAAUGCGCAGAGAUAUGGAGGAACACCAGUGGCGAAGGCGGCUUUCUGGUCUGUAACUGACGCUGAUGUGCGAAAGCGUGGGGAUCAAACAGGAUUAGAUACCCCUGUAGUCCCUGUCUCUUAUACA
rnacentral:rRNA from 1 species